rnacentral:antisense_RNA from 1 species
GAGUAAGAGGUAUAACAGGUGUAAAAUUGAUGUAUUCACCAAUUAAAUUCGCUUCACGCGACCAUUAAAUUUUUCUUUCCAGUAGCCUUUCGACAUGUCCGCAAUCGCUACACCUGUGCUUGUUUGCGCUCCAAUGAAUUUUCCAUCACCGACAUAAAUGCCGACAUGUCCAUCUUUUUUAUAAGUGUCAAAGAACACAAGAUCACCCGGCUGUAUUUCACUAGGCGGAACCGGCUUUCCUAAAUGCUUGAGCGUUUCUGUGCUAGUUGAACUUAACGGACCU